GCUAACAGUCUUCUUACCUGUUGCUCUUCAACUACCCGAGAGACUUUAAAUCUUUUUAUUUUCAUUAGAGACGUUUUGUUAGUUCAUGUACGUUUUGUAACUGUAUUAAGAAGAACACUAAACUUCCGUUUUCAUUUCAAGACGUUGUGGAGUGGAUUUAUUUCAAUUACAUGGACAAAGACAGUGGAAACAUAACUUUGAGUUGGAUAAGUAUCAGCGUAAGAAAUGGCACUUUCCUCGCGGUCUCACCAAGACUAAACCUCUAUAAUCUGUAUACACAAGUUAGGUCAGAAUCUGUUUACAGGAGUACAUGUGAAGGACGUUGUAUGGCGCUGUGUGGAGUCCUCAUAUGAUGUCACUGAAGACUACCCCUAACUACUCCUAAGGUGCUGCUAUGUGGCUGUUUAUAAGUUCACCAUCACUCCACAUCUGCGUGUCAAUAACCCUUCAGUGUGUGUGUCUGUGUCCUAAAAUGGCCUCAUGCACAGGGGAAGGAGUUUAACUCAGACAGAAGACGACACAAAACGACACAAUAACACUCAGCAGACAGCUACAAAACAAAGCAACAGGCAGACGGACAACAGUCCAAAUGAUGAGGAUGGCUGUCUGGAUGGAUGGCAACAACACUGAUACACAGAGUGGGAGUGGAGAUGAGAGAGGCAAUGAACAGAUAAACUGCAGACACACAAUGACAUCAAAAACUAAAAUAAGAGUUUGUUGUUGUGAGCUUCUGUGUGCGAGUGCACUAAUAUUUCAUGUGUGUGUGUGUGCUUGCAAGUGUGUGUAUAGAUCAUGUUAAUGUAUAUUCUCCCACAACAAAAUGAUAUUCAUGUGUUUCUAUGUAAAUAUUUCAGCAUGAGUUGUGUGCAUAACUAAAACUCUCUCCAGUCAUGUGCUGAUGUUUUGAUGAGUUUAUAAGUGUCUAUAUAAAAGUGCGUACUUU